rnacentral:SRP_RNA from 1 species
UCGUACAACCGGGGAGGUAGCGGUGCCCUGAAUCCGCAAUCCGCUAUAGCGGAGGUGAUACCCCCUUUGAGGGUUGUUUUCUGUAUGGCAGUGUUUUGCAAGUGGUUAUGACAAACGGGUCUUGCGCAACGGCGGCCUGUGAACCUCGUCAGGUGGGGAACCAAGCAGCGAUAAGCAGUGUCCGCCGUGUGCCGCGAGGGUGCCUGUUUCGAGCUAACUGCAAUACCAACGCAUAUGGAAGACAAUUCGAUUUGGGGGUGUACGA